ensembl:lncRNA
GGGGCUCAGUGUGGAUAAGAAAGUGUUUAUUUCAUUUGAACAGAAUUACAGGUCAAGAGUGGGCCACAUGGAGCGUGUGUGGAGCCGCAGAAUCACACGACACAGGGUCAUCUCAAACUGCCUUUUAUUACAUCUUAAAUAACAGUACAUUUGAAUAUAGUUUCUAUCUUGCAUCCAGCGUUCGCUUGUACACUGACUGACUUCAAAAUUAAAUACAAAAAUGAAAGGGAGCGUCGGGUCAGAGCUCUACAGUUAUUGAGUUAAAAUGGAGGAUAAGAGAAAAGGAAAGUGGAAUUUUAAGUCAUUUGAACUUUUUUUUUUUUAUUGACUUUUGCCAACUCCAGGCCUAAACGCACAAUUACAGCACAUGUUUGUACAGAAUGUAGCAGAGAAAAACAGUGAAAUGUCACUAGUGCUAAAGAAAGAGCCUCAGAGGAGCAGAACAGCAGCCUGCGUUCUGCCAGUGAGUUCAGGAGGAGCGGUCUGGAGGGAUUGGACCUGCUACAGAGGAAUGAAAACUUGUUCCGUCGCCGUGGUGAUGAGAAUGUAUGCACAAUGUGUACAAUUCAACAUGGACUUCAUUUGUGGAAUCCCCCCAUGUACUAUGGACCAGGGGACGGCUGGGGCUGCUUCUCAAGUGCAUAGCUUUGCCUUUUGAGUUGUAUCAUGUAUGCACGGAGGAGCCGAGAACAAGGAAAAACAAACAUAAAAAAUAAAAUAUAAAUACCAUAUCAUAGUAUUUAUGAUAUAUCAACAUUUUUUCUUAAAGAAAAACAUCAAAGAAUUGAAUUCCAUAUGCACCUUUUUAAGCAAUUCUACAGCAUGCGAUUCUAAGAGAUAACCCACCCAUGGCAGACAACCAAAAUCUUUUUUUUUGUUUUAAACUUAAAAAGUUUCAAUAUCAUUAUUUUCAAACAUUGAUUUAUACAACAUGUCAUUCACAGAGUAGUAACUGCAUUUCCAAGCACGGAUCUGAAGGUCCCGCCCACGGCCCAAAGAACCAGGGGACAGAAGAGAGAGGCAGAGUGGGCCGGGUUCCACCUGCGGCCGGACUCUACACUCACUACAUUUACAUGCACGCCAGGAAAACCAGAUUACUGUUCUAGUCCAAUUUAACAAAUUUUAAUGCAUGUAAACCCGGGAACUACAAUUGAGACGCUGUGAUUUGGAGAAGUUGGUACGUACUCGGAUACCUGCUGCAUGUAACAGUGCAGUCUUAUUUACAUUAGGCAAAGACUAAGAGAGGUGUUCAACUGCACGAGGUAAGAAACAGCUAGGAAAAUAACGUGUUGGACGUUUAUUCACUUGUUUUAUAUCAGCAGCGAUGACAAACUACGGCCUCUCCCCAGUGGAAUUGCACGUGUCUGCUACGAUAAAGUGAAAGCCAAAACUACCAGUGCUUCAAUUUUCUAAUUUGUGCUGCGGAGAGCAAAGACCCUGUGAGUAAAGCAGUUCCGAGCAGGUCUGAAAUUAAAAUCUUUAUGUAAUGAGAUGUCACAUAUAUUUCUGCCAAAGGUGGCUAUAUGUAUGAUCGUCGUUUUAAUUUGUAAUUAUAGCUAAAAAGUUUUAGUACUUAUAAAUUACUAGACACCCCUGAACAUAGCCCGUUUGCACUUGUUCAGUUCUUUGACCUGCUGAAGACUGGAACAACAGUGGUCUGAAAGAUUUUGGGACAAAGGCGAUUUGAAUUCAGUUUAGUGCACUCUGAUUUCCCUGUACACGUAAAAGUAGUGACUGUGCGCACCGGGGAAAGGAGGAGGGGAGGGGCCAGGUUCGAUCUACACUGUUGGCACCAAGGGGGAGGGGCCAGAAUUUGUAAUGUGUGGGUGCCUUGUCAAAAAGAGCAUUCAUUAUCAGACGGCGUGUGCUUUGUUAGUUAACAUUAUUCUAUAUAUGUAGGUUUUCGCUUGUGCAAACUAAGACAUGACUACACAGGAAAAAAGGUAGAAAAAUGUGGGCGCAUGUACAGAGGGCGAUUCAAAACGGGCUGUCUAAAAUGUGGAAGGGCUAAACUAAGGUGAGCUUUGAUCCUGGUUGGUAGUCUGACAGCCACUCAGCUAACUGUCAGACUAAAGAAUGAUCAGAAGAAAGGGAGAGACUCAUGGGGUGGGCGGGCGAGUGAGCGGGGGAGCCGGUCAGCGAGAGGGAGGGAGGCCGAGUUCACUGGUCGAUCAGCGCUUUUCCUUUGACUUCGGAGGGACGACCACGUUGUGCUCUUUUAAAUAAGGAGGAAAGAUUUUGCCCUUGAUAAGUUUGUGGGAUGACUGGAGUCAGUAUGGUGGUGGGUGGAAAAGAUUGGAUAUGCCAGAAAAUUUUACAUUGUGAAGUUGGAAUGGUCUUCCACUCAGAGUCCAGAGGUCACC